rnacentral:lncRNA from 1 species
GUAACGGGACAGUUGGAAACAAUAUCGGGACACGUUGCAAUCAUGACGCAAUAAGCGCCUACACAUGCAGACCGUACUUACUAGAAAGUUAAAGAAAACUAAACCAAUAACCACACAAUCUGAAAUUAGAUACAUUGUAAACUCAGGUGCAACGAGGGAAAACGUAGCUAGCUAGAUGAUUCGUUUUUGCAGAGACAUAUUUUUUUAAGCCUCUCAUGACCUAACAUGGCAAACGACAGGUCAAGGCAGGCAAGGGUCGAUAAUCCAGAGUAGGAGCAAAGGUACAGGACGGCAGGCAGGCUCAGGGUCAGGCAGAGUUCAGUAACCCAGAGGUGGAGCAAAGGAACAGGACAGCAGGCAGGCUCAGGGUCAGGCAGAGUGGUCAGGCAGGCGGGUACAGGGUCAGGACAGGCAAGGGUCAAAAACCAGAAGGAAGAGGAAAAAGAGAGGCUGGGAAAAGACAGGAGCUGAAAGGACAAACCCUGGCUCUUGAGAGGCGAAGUUCGAGUCACGCGUCCUUCGAAACAAGACCUGCCAAACCACGCUUCAUAACAGCGGCCUGCUUAACCCGGAAGCCAGGCGCACCAAUGGAGGAAACACUGUGCAACUGACUACCGAAGGCACUUGGCCCGCCACAAGGAGUCGCUAGAGCGCAAUGAGCCAAGUAAAGCCUCCCCGGCCAAACCUCACCCUAACCCGGAGACACUGAGCCAAUUGUGCACCGCCCUAUGGGACUCCCGGUCAGCCUGGAGAUCAAACCCGGGUCUGUAGUGACGCCUCAAGCACUGCGAUGCAGUGCCUUAGACCGCUGCGCCACACGGGAGGCCUAUAAGUUAUAGAAUUAGACUGUUCACUGGGUGUGUGCGUGUCUCCCUUUGCCUCUAUUACGAUAUCUUUCUGCCUGAUAAACCAGUGAUAGCUCUGCAUUGCACCUUGUUUUUCUCACUUAUUGUGGACUCUGUAAUCACACUUUAUCACACAUAUCUAUCAACAAUAUAUCAUUAUCAACCUAUCAAAUAUAUCAUUACAAGCGCCAACCGGCAAGAUAUUCAUUAAACAACCUUUUUCAUCAUCCAUUACUCAAUUAUUACUCAAUUAUUGCAUGGAACAACACAUGGACAUUAUGAAUAG